rnacentral:rRNA from 1 species
AUGGGGUGCAAGGGCUCCAAGCUGGACAGCCAGGAGGCGGUGGCGCUGUGCCGCGGCCGCGCCGACCUCAUCGCCGCCGCCGUGCGCCACCGCUACGCGCUCGCCGACGCGCACGCCGCCCUCGCCGGAUCCUACGAGUCGCUCGCCGCGCCGCUGCACCUCCUCCUCCAGCUCCAGGACGAGCCGCCGCGGCUCUCGCUGCCUGAAGACCGCAAGGGCGGCCGUCGUGGCGGCGGUGGCGGUCUGCCGCUCCCGGACCGCCGUCAUUCCUCGCAUGUCGACUUCGAGCCCACGUCGUCCUCCGGAUCCGACUCGGCCUCCUCCCCGGCCGGAUCGCCUCCCCGCCGCGUCCACGAGCAGCUGCUCCCGCAGCCGAAUUACUACGGGUACGCGCCCGAGCCCGCGUUCGCCUACCCGGCGCCUCCGCAGAGCACGAUGCAGUUCUACUACGCGCGCAGCCGCCCGCCCCCGGCGUCGGUCGCGGUCGCGCAGCGUGCGCCGGUGUCGGAGCGCGCGCGCUACGGGGCUUUCGAUGCGGCAGUUGGCGGCGGCUACCCGCAGUAUUACGCCUACGGCGGCGAGCCGGCCGCCGCCGCGGCUGCGCCGCCGCCACCGCCGCCGCAGAGGACAGCGGCUCCGGCUCCGGCUCCACUUCCGCCGCCCAGGGAGACCUCGUCGUGGGACUUCCUAAACGUGUUCGAGAACUACGACGACUCGUACGACGGCUACUACUACAACCCCACCACCACCGCGGCUGCCGCAGCCGCCGCUUACACGCCGAGCCGUAGCUCGCGGGAGGUGCGGGAGGAGGAGGGCAUUCCGGAGCUGGAGGAGGACGACGAGGAGACCGUGGUCGUGAAGGAGAUGGCUAGCGAGUACUCCACGGUUGGAAGCGGCCGCAGCCGUCGCGGCUCGUUCGGUGCUGUCAAUACAAUCCCGGAGGCGGAGGUCGACAACCGGAGGAAUGUACAACGGAGGCGACCAGCAUACCGCAAUGUGGCCCCGCUGACACGAGAGCCGCCGGCGCAGAGGGUCGUCGGCAAUGCGGUGGACGCCGCCACCGCCGUUAAGACGCAGCUUGUUCGGGUGGCGGAGGCAGCAAGGGAGCUCGCGCCGCUGCUCGAGGUCGGGAGGCCGAGCUACCAAGGACGCAACUCGGUCUACCACGCUGCUUCAUCACGGAUGAUGUCUGCAAUCUCUGUGGCGCAUCUGGGGUGCAAAGACGAGGACAUGUUGGGCAUGGUGGUUGGGGAAGAAGGCAAGGUGGUGGGCUCAUGGAGCUUAUCCUUGACACUAGAGAAGCUGUAUUUCUGGGAGAGGAAGCUGUAUGGCGAGGUCAAGGCUGAAGAGAAAAUGCGUUUACGCCUUGCCAGGAACUCUAAGAGACUAAAGCUUCUAGAUCAAAGGGGUGCUGAAGCUCAUAAGGUUGACGCAACUCGAAAUUUGCUCAGGAAGCUGUCAACAAAGAUAAGAAUAGCUGUUCGUGUCAUUGCCAAGGUUUCAAGAAAAAUUAACAAAGUAAGGGAUGAGGAACUAGUGCCACAAGUUAAUACCUUGAUCCAAGGGUUUGCAAAAAUGUGGCAAGACAAGCUACACUCCUACCAGAUUCAGUUACAAGUGAUAUCAGAAGCGAAAAACCUGGCUUCGGUAACAUCAGGUGGAACCAACGGCCGUGAUCUGGCAAUGGAGCUGGAGCUAGAACUGAUUAAAUGGAUCAUCAACUUUUCCUCCUGGGUGAGCGCGCACAGGAACUUCGUGAAGUCACUGAAUGGAUGGCUAGCACUCUGCCUCAACUACGAGCCUCAGGAGGCACCCACCUACUCGCCUAGGCGAAUAGGCGCUCCAGUGAUUUUCGUCAUCUGCAACAAAUGGUCUCAAGCCAUGGAUAGGAUCUCCGAGAAGGAUGUGGUCAACGCAAUGCAAGCCCUUGUCUCAAGCGUGCGCCAUCUGUGGGAGCAGCAAAACCUUGAUCAAAGCGAAAGGAGCGUCGCAGUUCGAGAAAGGGAGAAGUGGAUCAAGAUGUUGGAGCGGAAGGCGCUUGAGAUCAACAAGGAAGCCGACGAGUUAAACAGGAAGCUGGCCUUGGUGCCGGGCCAGCAGCAGAGUUUUCAGCGGUGUCCAACGAUACGAACGUACGAGGCGCAUCAUAUUGAAGCGAGCAGCGUGCACGUGAAUUUGAGGCUGGUUGUUCAAGCUCUGGAGGACUUUGCCUCCAAUUCCCUGGAAGCUUUCCAGGAGAUACCGAGACUAGAUGAAGAGCCAACAAGGCCGUCAAGAGGGAGUUCGAGGGUACCACGGUGA